UAUAAACCCAGCGUCUUUGGGGCAUCUUUGCAGCAUUGCCUGGCCCCAAGGGCAUUUGGACACAGCCAUUCCUCUUGCGUUUGCUGCUCGGUGAACCCUCAGACCUUCUCCAGGCAGCUCUGUGAAGACCCAGGAGAGGCAGCAGCCAUGAAGAUCCUGUUCCUGCUCUUCCCCCUGAUCCUCCUGUUGGUCCAGGGUGCUUCAGGAAAUGCAGCUCGAUGCAGGCGCCGAGGGGGAUUCUGCAGCUUUGAUGGCUGCAUCUCCCAGACAAAAGCUAUAGGAAGAUGUUCAUCAGUCAGUGUGUGCUGCAAAAGUAACUGGGUUUGAGACCCUGAAAUUCCCAAGCAAGACAUCCACUCGCUUCUGGCUGCUGGACCCUCCUGCUGAUGUCCCCAUCUGCUGAUGUCCCCUGCCCUCCCUGGCUGUGCGGUGCCCAGCUGGGCUGACAGCAGCAGUGGCAGCUG